rnacentral:rRNA from 1 species
UACGUAGGGUCCGAGCGUUGUCCGGAGUGACUGGGCGUAAAGCGCGCGCAGGCGGCCCGCGAGGUGUCCUGUGAAAGCCCCGUGCUCAACGCGGGAGGGUCAGGGCAAACCGGCGGGCUUGAGGCCGGUAGAGGUGGGUGGAACUCCUGGUGGAGUGGUGAAAUGCGUAGAGAUCAGGAAGAACACCCGUGGCGAAGGCGGCGACCUGGUCCGAUACUGACGCUGAGGCGCGAAAGCGUGGGGAGCAAACAGG